AGCAAACGUUGUAAUUCAAAAUAUAUAGUGGAAACAUUUUUAGGGACACCCUAUAGAAACAUCAGGUAUUUAUUGGUUUGUAUAUAUACUGUAAUAUACUUUUAUUAUUGAAAUGCCAUUAAGAAGCCAUGAGGCCGUUAAUCCUUAUAAAGGCUCAAAACAUUCAAAGGGAUAUUAAUAUUACUACAAAAGCACAUGCAGACACAGUUGUCAGACGAUAUACAGUAGAAUUGUCAUUAAAGUCAUUGUGACAGUGUUAUAUACACAUUACAGCUAUCAGAGGCUAGUCAGCUAACUCUAACAAAGCGCAUUCUUCUGAGGAUUUAUUGCUAUACACGCUAUAGCUGUGUUUAAACUUGCAUGAAG